rnacentral:tRNA from 1 species
CAAUAAGUAGUUUAAUAAAAAAUACUAAUUUUGGAGAUUAGUGAUGGAUUAAUUUUCCUUAUUGA